UCCUCCGUGGCGCAAUAGGCAGCGCGUCUGACUGUUAUCACGAUAGCACAUCAGGAGGUUGGAAGUUCGAACCUUCCCGGGGGAG
rnacentral:tRNA from 1 species